rnacentral:rRNA from 1 species
GUGAGGAAUAUUGGUCAAUGGGCGAGAGCCUGAACCAGCCAAGUAGCGUGCAGGAUGACGGCCCUAUGGGUUGUAAACUGCUUUUAUGUGGGGAUAAAGUGCGUGACGUGUCAUGCAUUGCAGGUACCACAUGAAUAAGGACCGGCUAAUUCCGUGCCAGCAGCCGCGGUAAUACGGAAGGUCCGGGCGUUAUCCGGAUUUAUUGGGUUUAAAGGGAGCGUAGGCUGUCUAUUAAGCGUGUUGUGAAAUUUACCGGCUCAACCGGUGGCUUGCAGCGCGAACUGGUCGACUUGAGUAUGCAGGAAGUAGGCGGAAUUCAUGGUGUAGCGGUGAAAUGCUUAGAUAUCAUGACGAACUCCGAUUGCGCAGGCAGCUUACUGUAGCAUAACUGACGCUGAUGCUCGAAAGUGCGGGUAUCAAACAGGAUUAGAAACCCUAGUAGUCC